ACCUUGCUGACGAGUGCCAAACAGCACGAAAUCCGGGUCCAGGGU
rfam:Schistosoma margrebowiei strain Zambia genome assembly, scaffold: SMRZ_scaffold0000052